UACGUAGGGAGCGAGCGUUGUCCGGAAUUACUGGGUGUAAGGGGCGUGUAGGCGGGAUUGCAAGUCAGAUGUGAAAUACCGAGGCUUAACUUCGGGGCUGCAUUUGAAACUGUGAUUCUUGAGUGAUGGAGAGGAAAGCGGAAUUCCUAGUGUAGCGGUGAAAUGCGUAGAUAUUAGGAGGAACACCAGUGGCGAAGGCGGCUUUCUGGACAUUUACUGACGCUGAUGCGCGAAAGCGUGGGGAGCAAACAGGAGUAGAUACCCUGGUAGUCCACGCUGUAAACGAUGAUUACUAGGUGUGGGGGGUAUUGACCCCCGCCGUGCCGGAGUUAACACAAUAAGUAAUCCACCUGGGGAGUACGAUCGCAAGAUUGAA
rnacentral:rRNA from 1 species